rnacentral:rRNA from 1 species
UGGGGAAUAUUGGACAAUGGGCGAAAGCCUGAUCCAGCCAUGCCGCGUGCAGGAAGAAGGCGUUAUGCGUUGUAAACUGCUUUUUGCCAGGGGAUAAAAUGACCGUGCGCGGUUAAUUGAAGGUACCUGGUGAAUAAGCCACGGCUAACUACGUGCCAGCAGCCGCGGUAAUACGUAGGUGGCAAGCGUUGUCCGGAUUUAUUGGGUUUAAAGGGUGCGUAGGUGGCCCUGUAAGUCAGUGGUGAAAUAUCUCAGCUUAACUGAGAGGGUGCCAUUGAUACUGCAGGGCUUGAGUACAGAUGAGGUAGGCGGAAUUGACGGUGUAGCGGUGAAAUGCAUAGAUAUCGUCAAGAACACCGAUAGCGAAGGCAGCUUACCAAGCUGUAACUGACACUGAGGCACGAAAGUGUGGGGAUCAAACAGGAUUAGAUACCCCUGUAGUCCCUGAGCGGGCUGGCAAGGCGCAU